UACGGAGGGUGCAAGCGUUAUCCGGAUUCACUGGGUUUAAAGGGUGCGUAGGCGGAUAGGUAAGUCAGUGGUGAAGUCUCCGAGCUUAACUCGGAAACUGCCGUUGAUACUAUUUGUCUUGAAUACUGUGGAGGUAAGCGGAAUAUGUCAUGUAGCGGUGAAAUGCUUAGAUAUGACAUAGAACACCAAUUGCGAAGGCAGCUUACUACGCAGUUAUUGACGCUGAGGCACGAAAGCGUGGGGAUCAAACAGG
rnacentral:rRNA from 1 species